UGGGGGAUAUUGCGCAAUGGGCGAAAGCCUGACGCAGCGACGCCGCGUGGGUGAUGAAGGCCUUCGGGUCGUAAAGCCCUGUCGAGGGGGACGAAUCGGUCGCGACCUAACACGUCGCGAUCCUGACGGUACCCCUAAAGGAAGCACCGGCUAACUCCGUGCCAGCAGCCGCGGUAAUACGGAGGGUGCUAGCGUUGUUCGGAAUUACUGGGCGUAAAGCGCGUGUAGGCGGCCCGCUAAGUCUGAUGUGAAAGCCCGGGGCUCACCCCCGGAAGUGCAUUGGAGACUGGCGGGCUAGAGUCCCGGAGAGGAGGGUGGAAUUCCUGGUGUAGCGGUGAAAUGCGUAGAUAUCAGGAGGAACACCGGUGGCGAAGGCGGCCCUCUGGACGGUGACUGACGCUGAGACGCGAAAGCGUGGGGAGCAAACAG
rnacentral:rRNA from 1 species